ensembl:lncRNA
AAUACUUUUGUCCCAUUUCUAGAGAAAACAGCAUCUGAGAAACGUUGUCUGUUCACUUCACUGAGUAAUUACAGGAGCCAUCUCCUCAGCUCCCAGUGGCUGGUUCUCCUCCUCCCAGUGGCUGGUUCUCCUCAGCUCCCAGUGGCUGGUUCUCCUCAGCUCCCAGUGGCUGGUUCUCCUCCUCCCAGUGGCUGGUUUUCCUCCUCCCAGUGGCUGCUUCUCCUCCUCCCAGUGGCUGGUUCUCCUCAGCUCCCAGUGGCUGGUUCUCCUCCUCUCAGUGGCUGGUUCUCCUCAGCUCCCAGUGGCUGGUUCUCCUCAGCUCCCAGUGGCUGGUUCUCCUCCUCCCAGUGGCUGGUUCUCCUCAGCUCCCAGUGGCUGGUUCUCCUCCUCCCAGUGGCUGCUUCUCCUCCUCCCAGUGGCUGGUUCUCCUUAGCUCCCAGUGGCUGGUUCUCCUCCUCCCAGUGGCUGGUUUUCCUCCUCCCAGUGGCUGCUUCUCCUCAGCUCCCAGUGGCUGGUUCUCCUCCUCCCAGUGGCUGCUUCUCCUCCUCCCAGUGGCUGGUUCUCCUCCUCCCAGUGGCUGGCUCUCCUCAGCUCCCAGUGGCUGGUUCUCCUCCUCCCAGUGGCUGCUUCUCCUCAGCUCCCAGUGGCUGGUUUUCCUCCUCCCAGUGGCUGCUUCUCCUCCUCCCAGUGGCUGGUUCUCCUCAGCUCCCAGUGGCUGGUUCUCCUCCUCUCAGUGGCUGGUUCUCCUCAGCUCCCAGUGGCUGGUUCUCCUCAGCUCCCAGUGGCUGGUUCUCCUCCUCCCAGUGGCUGGUUCUCCUCAGCUCCCAGUGGCUGGUUCUCCUCCUCCCAGUGGCUGCUUCUCCUCCUCCCAGUGGCUGGUUCUCCUUAGCUCCCAGUGGCUGGUUCUCCUCCUCCCAGUGGCUGGUUUUCCUCCUCCCAGUGGCUGCUUCUCCUCAGCUCCCAGUGGCUGGUUCUCCUCCUCCCAGUGGCUGCUUCUCCUCAGCUCCCAGUGGCUGGUUCUCCUCCUCCCAGUGGCUGGCUCUCCUCAGCUCCCAGUGGCUGGUUCUCCUCCUCCCAGUGGCUGCUUCUCCUCAGCUCCUAGUGGCUGGUUCUCCUCUUCCCAGUGGCUGCUUCUCCUCCUCCCAGUGGCUGGUUCACCUCCUCCCAGUGGCUGGCUCUCCUCAGCUCCCAGUGGCUGGUUCUCCUCAGCUCCCAGUGGCUGCUUCUCCUCAGCUCCCAGUGGCUGGUUCUCCUCCUCCCAGUGGCUGCUUCUCCUCCUCCCAGUGGCUGGUUCUCCUCCUCCCAGUGGCUGGCUCUCCUCAGCUCCCAGUGGCUGGUUCUCCUCCUCCCAGUGGCUGCUUCUCCUCAGCUCCUAGUGGCUGGUUCUCCUCUUCCCAGUGGCUGCUUCUCCUCCUCCCAGUGGCUGGUUUUCCUCAGCUCCCAGUGGCUGGCUCUCCUCAGCUCCCAGUGGCUGGUUCUCCUCCUCCCAGUGGCUGCUUCUCCUCCUCCCAGUGGCUGGUUCUCCUCCUCCCAGUGGCUGGUUCUCCUCAGCUCCCCGUGCCUGGUUCUCCUCCUCCCAGUGGCUGGUUCUCCUCAGCUCCCAGUGGCUGCUUCUCCUCCUCCCAGUGGCUGGUUCUCCUUAGCUCCCAGUGGCUGGUUCUCCUCCUCCCAGUGGCUGGUUCUCCUCAGCUCCCAGUGGCUGGUUCUCCUCAGCUCCCAGUGGCUGGUUCUCCUCCUCCCAGUGGCUGGUUCUCCUUAGCUCCCAGUGGCUGGUUCUCCUCCUCCCAGUGGCUGGUUCACCUCCUCCCAGUGGCUGGUUCUCCUACUUCCAGUGGCUGGUUCUCCUCCUCCCAGUGGCUGGUUCUCCUCCUCGUGCUCCCAUUCACAUUUUAUCUUAACAUCACUUAA